rnacentral:rRNA from 1 species
UACGUAGGGAGCAAGCGUUGUCCGGAAUCAUUGGGCGUAAAGCGCGCGUAGGCGGCCCUGUAAGUCCGUUGUGAAAGUCAAAGGCUCAACCUUUGAAAGCCGAUGGAUACUGCAGGGCUAGAGUCCGGAAGAGGCGAGUGGAAUUCCUGGUGUAGCGGUGGAAUGCGCAGAUAUCAGGAGGAACACCAAUAGCGAAGGCAGCUCGCUACACUAUCAUUGACACUGAGGCACGAAAGCGUGGGGAUCAAACAGG